CACAGAGCACAGACGACAUGCCUUUCUUUCUCUACGCCCGCGGCCGUCUACGACGGCGGCGAUGGCGACAUCAACAACUUGAUCAGCACCUGGCCGCGGGGGCGCCAACUUACAUGGACGGGCGCAUGCAUCCUGCCCCAAGCACCGAGUUUCUCCUAGUGACCUGGUCGAACUUGAAGCACCAACAUCAUCAGCAAGCAGCUGGCUAUGGAUUCCACCAAUCACAUGCUACGUACGUGCUAGAUUUAUGGUUGCAGCCACCAGCCAAUUGAUUGAAGAAACAGAGAAGAAGCACCUUGUCUCACCCCAGUUACCAUGGGUGCAAAGCAUGUAGGAUUCGUGUGACCCAGGAUCGUCUAUUUGGUGUCAAGUGGACCUUGAUGGAAGACACUAUCUUUUUUCUACUCCAUAAUUUUCUAGCUUUCAAUCCUUCUUAGAGAUGUAAGAGUAGUUGCAUGUUGUGAUCAAGAUACAAAUUUAUUAUAAGAUACAACUUCUUGUACCUCCACUAGAGAAAUAUGUAUAUUUUUGUCCGCCACUUGACAAGUAUAUACUCCUUUCCCAAGAGGCAGUAUAAACUCCUUUAAAAUUUAACAUAUUUGCAUUCUAGAAUA